GCCAGUGAUAUUGUCCUGUCACAGCAGUAUGUUUUAUUUAAAUAUUUUACUGCUGGGCCGGGGCAUUAACAUUGUU
rnacentral:pre_miRNA from 1 species